AAAAAAAAAAUUAAAAAAAUUUUUUAAGUCGCUAAUCCCACUGUAAUCACCUGUAACUCUUGGGGUACAGUGCACCCUUUGUCAUUAUGGUAUCCUGUACCAUACUUCUAAAGUGUCCCUAUUUAGGAGAUACAGUCCCUAUAUGCUGACCAAAUCUCACUGUCCCUCUUUUGUAACCGAAUGUCCAGAUUUCUAGGAGCUCCAUUUUGUUGGUGUGUCUUAGUGUAUAAAGGAGCAAAUUAGUGGGUUUUUUUUUUUACAUUUUUGGAUAAACAGCAGAACCAACAUGUGAAAGCUUUAACCUGAUGAAAUCGAGUGGUUUCCCCCCCAACAUUAAUAUGUAGCCAUCUAAAACCGUGAAAGAAGUCGCACUCAAAAUAGUAGAAGCCUCAGCUUUUAUUAGCUUUACAUAUCAAUAAUGUAAUUCAUGUUUUUCAUGAAUGAAGCUGAGUGCCCAGAGUCUGCAGUGAUUGCUUUUCUCCAAUGAAUGCAGUGUCAUUAUGGCAUUGUUGUUAAGAUGCUCCACAUUUUGAAGUCAACACUUGAACUAAUGUUUUACAGCCAAGUUUGGCAGUCCUGCUUUAUCCAUGUACCUAUACAUUACUCCAUGGCAAAAAGAACCAGGGGCUUCAGCCAAGCUGUAAUUUGUACCCCCCUUUGCAUAUAUAGUG